rnacentral:rRNA from 1 species
GAUGAACGCUGGCGGCGCGCCUAACACAUGCAAGUCGAACGGCACCCCUCCUCGGAGGGCAGCGAGUGGCGAACGGCUGAGUAACACGUGGAGAACCUGCCCCCUCCCCCGGGAUAGCCGCCCGAAAGGACGGGUAAUACCGGAUACCCCGGGGUGCCGCAUGGCACCCCGGCUAAAGCCCCGACGGGAGGGGAUGGCUCCGCGGCCCAUCAGGUAGACGGCGGGGUGACGGCCCACCGUGCCGACAACGGGUAGCCGGGGUGAGAGACCGACCGGCCAGAUUGGGACUGAGACACGGCCCAGACUCCUACGGGAGGCAGCAGUGGGGAAUCUUGCGCAAUGGGGGGAACCCUGACGCAGCGACGCCGCGUGCGGGACGGAGGCCUUCGGGUCGUAAACCGCUUUCAGCAGGGAAGAGUCAAGACUGUACCUGCAGAAGAAGCCCCGGCUAACUACGUG